rnacentral:misc_RNA from 1 species
GUUCCGUAGGUGAACCUGCGGAAGGAUCAUUAUUGUAUAACCGAGGUGCGAGGGCUGUCGCUGACCCGAAAGGUCGUGCACGCCCGAGUGCCCUCACACACAUCCAUCUCACCCCUAUGUGCACCACCGCGUGGGUCCCCCUUUGGCUUGUUCGGAGGGGGGCUUACGUUUUCACACAAACUUUGUAUGCAGUGUAGAAUGUAUUUUUUGUUUUUGCGAUCACGCAAUCAAUACAACUUUCAACAACGGAUCUCUUGGCUCUCGCAUCGAUGAAAACGCAGC